GCCCCCACCCCCGCGUGUGCAUCUCUGCGUCUAUAUCUAUUUUCGUUGUCGUUGAAGGUGUCAUCACCUCUGCAUUGCAUUCAUUCCGCCUUUCAAACAGGCUCUUCCUUCUCUCUUCCUUCUGCGUUUCAUUUCAUUCCUCCAUUCUUUGUCUAGCUUUCCGAAUUGCUUUCAACCCACGUCUCUAUUUCCGGCCAGGGAAGAACAUCUCCGACCACCCUUCGCCGCCGUCGCCGACGUUUGAAAUCUCAACGAUCUUUGGAAACCGGUAAAGCCCUUUGAGCACCCCGUAUUCUUUCGAUUGGUGUCUGUUGAUUUUGAUGGCUGAUGGUAAGAAUCAAGGAAUGGGAUACGGUGGAAAGAAAACUCAGAACAAUGGCAAGAGCAAUCCGUCGUCGGUUUUCAAUCGAUCGUUGACAAUCAAUUCGUCGGCGGCGGCGGCGGCCGGGGAAAACAGGCCGUUCUAUAAUCUCUAUGGUUCCACGCCGCUCCAGCGCAAUGGUUCGGUCAAGAGUUCGUACAGCUCCUCAUUUGGCUCCAAGAUUUCUGCUGGGAAUUCUUUCAAGGGAAAGGUCAAGAAAUUGUGCUCUAUUUUCGAAUCCCCGAAAUCCCCCUCAAGCACCCCAAAUUCACAAUCUAUGGCCUCGCCCACAUCCACGAAACACAACAAGGGGUUGUCGACGGUGUCGGAUUCUUCAUACGUCGUUCCGAAGAGCGGCUAUUCUCUGGUCCCUGAUUCUCCCUUGAGGCUGCCGGGCACCGAGGAUAGGGUUGUAAUUUACUUCACCAGCCUCCGAGGAAUACGAAGAACAUUCCAGGAUUGUCACAGUGUACGAAUGAUUUUCCGAGGAUUUCGUGUAAAUCUUGAUGAGAGGGACAUUUCAAUGGACGUGGCCUAUAAAAAGGAAUUGCAGAAAGUGCUUGGAGAAAAUAAUGUUAGCUUGCCUCAGGUGUUUGUCAAGGGAAAAUACAUUGGGGGAGCUGAUAUUGUAAAACAAUUGCUAGAGGUUGGUGAGCUGGGAAGGCUGGUCAAGGGGCUCCCCUUGCGGCCGCCAAAGCCCUGUGAUGCUUGCGAUGACAUGAGAUUUGUUCCAUGCAUGAAAUGCGAUGGUAGCCGCAAGGUGUUUGAUGAGGAUGAGGAGGUGCCCAAGAGGUGCCCGGAAUGCAAUGAAAAUGGGCUCGUGCGCUGUCCCCUGUGCUGCUCAUGAGUGGUGUAUUGUAAAUGGAAUUUUAAUUAGUAGGAAGCUGGUGUGAUUAUAUAUUGCUCCCAACAGUUACUUGGACAUUGUGAGGCAGGAUAAAUGUUUCUUUACUGAGGAAAUCAGCCGUGUACAUAGUGAUUGAGUUCCAAAUUUAGGAUUUUGAUACUUCCUGAUGCUUGAUGAACGGACGAAUUUUCUCCAAUUCUGGCCCUUGCUUCAAGUGUUUGGUAACUGUUAGAAAUUAUACUCUGUUGGUAUAUUUCUCUUUCAGGACCACAUUUUCUGAUGUUUGUAUAAGAGGAUAAAUUUGCUCCUUUUCUUACUUUUUACGACUUAUAUAACCUUGUACUUUGAAAUAUUCUUUGAUAGAUUACUAAAUGGAGUAGAUUCUUCUUGGGAUCUAUGCUUAAUUCUAUCAACAGCUGAUUAUGUGUUGCUUUUACUAGUUCGACUAUUACUAUCGGUUGAGUUGAUUGA